AGCUCCAGUAGCGUAUAUUAAAGUUGCUGCAGUUAAAAAGCUCGUAGUUGGAUUUCUGGUGCGAGGCGCCUGGCCCGCCGCUUCGAGCGUGUGAGUGCCGGUGCGGCUCCGCCAUCCUUCUGGGGAGCGUGCCUACCCUUCAUUGGGCCGGGCACGGGACCCAGAUCGUUUACUUUGAGUAAAUUAGAGUGUUCAAAGCAGGCUCGCGCUAUGAAUACGACAGCAUGGAAUAAUGACUUAGGACUCCGGUUCUAUUUUGUUGGUUUCUAGGACUGAAGUAAUGAUUGAUAGGGAUAGUUGGGGGUGCUAGUAUUCAGCGGCCAGAGGUGAAAUUCUUGGAUUCGCUGAAGACUAACUUAUGCGAAAGCAUUCACCAAGGAUGUCUUCUUUAAUCAAGAAC
rnacentral:rRNA from 1 species